UACGGAGGGUGCGAGCGUUGUCCGGAAUCACUGGGCGUAAAGGGCGCGUAGGUGGCCCGUUAAGUGGCUGGUGAAAUCCCGGGGCUCAACUCCGGGGCUGCCGGUCAGACUGGCGAGCUAGAGCACGGUAGGGGCAGAUGGAAUUCCCGGUGUAGCGGUGGAAUGCGUAGAGAUCGGGAAGAAUACCAGUGGCGAAGGCGUUCUGCUGGGCCGUUGCUGACGCUGAGGCGCGACAGCGUGGGGAGCAAACAGG
rnacentral:rRNA from 1 species